AGGCAAAACCUGAUGAGGUAACGCUUGUGUGUACCCUAUCUGCGUGUGCUCAGUUGGGUGCAAUUGAUUUAGGUGGAUGGAUCCAUGUGUAUAUAAAGAAGCAAGGAAAAAAAUUAAAUUGUCACCUCACUACUGCACUGAUCGACAUGUAUUCCAAGUGCGGGGACGUGGAGAAAGCACUUGAGGUGUUCCAUUUAGUCAACGUGAGAGAUGUGUUUGUGUGGAGUGCUAUGAUUGCUGGCUUGUCAAUGCAUGGCGAAUAAAAUUAAAUUGUCACCUUAGUACUGCACUGAUCGACAUGUACUCCAAGUGUGGGGACGUAGAGAAAGCACUUGAGGUGUUCCAUUCAGUCAAAGUGAGAGAUGUGUUUGUGUGGAGUGCUAUGAUUGCUGGCUUGUCAAUGCAUGGGCGUGG
rnacentral:lncRNA from 1 species